CCUGGUAGCUCAGACGGUAAAGCGUCUGCCUACAAUGCGGGAGACCCGGGUUCGAUCCCUGGGUCAGGA
rfam:TPA: Bos taurus chromosome 13, whole genome shotgun sequence.